rnacentral:lncRNA from 1 species
CCUGCUUCAGGUGCAGAAAGCUGGGAGGGGUCGAGGGGAGGAAUGCACAGGCUGAUUUACACCUGUCCCUACAGCUGCUAUCGACAACACUUACAGCCUCCAGAAAUGACCCUUGGUGCCGACUUGUCUGGAAGCCAUCAGGGUUAGUUUUGAAGCAGGAAUCUUCAAGUGGACCAGAGGGUUGUCUUCUGCUCCUGAUCUGGUUGGCUGGAGACACUUAGAAGCUAUGGCCUUUCACCU